UCAGGUGGUUCCAAUGUCCUGGGCCUUGGGCUGGGCUCUCUGCCGUCUUUAAGACAACAUGGCAAGUGGGUCGUGGGGGGCUUCAGAAGGAUGAGGAGCAGUCAGGUGAAGAAGGAAGAGAAGUUUGAAGAGGUGUGGUGGUUGAGCCCCAAAUCCCACGGUGGCGGAAGUGAGCUUGGGCCCAGCUUCCCCAGCCUCAUAGCCAAUCUACCUGUCCAUGCCCUGGGGCAGGUGAGGCAAGACAGCAGAGGACAGAGUGACCAGUGUUCCGGAGGAGUUCUUGUCUUAACCAGACACCUGAUGCCAAAGAAAGGCUCCGAUAGACCCCAACUUCUAGAACACACACACACACACUUCACUCCACACAGCAUGGGCCUGCUCAGACCCCAAUCUCCGGCAGUACAGGGUCAGUAACCCGACACACGGCUCACUCCCAGAGCUCCAUCAGCUCGUGGAAUGAAGCUUUAUGACCCGUGCAUGGGGGUAUCCAUGGCAACAGGGCUCCAGCACCAGAUGGAACCAUUCUGGACCACUUGAACGCAGGAGCCAAGACGGGGAUGGAGCUGUGAAUGAUGGAGGCAGCUGGGCCUGAGGUUGAGACAACCCUGGAGAGGCACACAGGAAUGCCUCUGGCUUCUGGAACUUUCUAUCACUAGAGGUGUUCGGUCAAAAUGCUCACUGAACCGAGACUUCAGCCAGCCUGUGGGCUCCCUAUAAAGUGCUCAUCUACCCGCACGCCCCAUCUGUGUUAGCAGCACUUAGGCAUCAAACCCCACUUCUAAGACAAAGCUGAUAGUGGACCCCACAGGCAGGCUAGUUCAGAGAGAAGCAGAAAGGCCAAGAUGAGGGAUGAGGCCCUUCCCAGGGCGCAUCACGCAAGUCCCCGAGGUGAGGGAAUCCAUAAGCCAAGUGCCCCAAGCCAGUGCCCCUCUGUCAGAGAGACCAAGAAGCUGUCAACUAGGAAAAACCCGGAGCUGCGGGUGUGUUUGGCGCUCAGCUUAUAGCUGCAGCCUGUCAGGGCCGUUCUCCAGUGGCCUGUGGCUAUCUCGGAGGCCUCGAAGAUACCAGUAAUUCUGUGGCUCAGAGAGGUGCUUGGCAUUGGACAAGGUCAGGUAGCAAGUGGUUGAUGGGAAGUGGGGCCGUUUUCCCUGUGCUAGAGUGAGGGCUUGCCCGUGUGCCCAGGUGGGUGUGGAAAAGAGAAGAGAACAAAGAAUCGGUGAGGAGAGGCCAGCCUUCCUUUGGGGAGUGUGUUGAAGCUGUGCAGAAGGUCAUUUUUGGAUGAAGAUGCCACCCCAGGGAGCUCCAGAUAAUCGCAAGCAGGAGGCAAGCGUGGAGCUGGGUGUGGUGGCUCACACUUUAGUCCCAGCACUCCAGAGGUGGGUCUCUGAGUUCGAGGCCAGCCUGGUCUACUGAGCAAUUUUCAAGGGAAGGGGGGGAGGGAGAAUAUGAGGAAGAGGAGAUGGAGAGCAAGCAGAGAGUUCAGAAUCCACAGUACCAUGGUAUGUGACCCUGCCUGCAGCCUCGUGGAAACCACGCUGCUCAGCAAAGCCAAAGCCGGCUCGUCUGGGAACACAAGUCAAUAUUUCGUCAUGCCUGUCCUCACAGAGGCAGCAUUCCAUCCACUCGCAGCCUAGGGACUCACUACUGUGGGGGCAGGCCCUCCUGAACCCCUUUACCCUCACCAGGAGAGAGUCCCAGACCAGACACGGCCCAGCUCAAGGAUGGAGAGCCGCAGCUGCUGGAGGGUGUGCCCUGGCUCCUCUAUUGCCUAACUACGCCAGCAUUUGCACAGGAAAGAGCAUGUCGUAGAGAUCUCUGCACAAGCGAGAGACCUCACACCAAUCUACAGAUGGGCAUCUGGGGCCCAGAGGCAUUGAAUGCCCAGCUCAAACACCCACGGCUAGAAAGAGAAACAGACAUGAAUUGAUAUGGUCUCCUGAGAGGCACGGACUCUCGCCCAUCACGCUAGCUCACCCUCACUCUCCACAACAAACCCCUUGAUGAGAGGAGAUGCUGGAGCCCAGAGAGGCUCAUGGUUCCUGCUCUGCUGGUUCUCCAGCAGCACCCGGGUGUCGUCCAGGUCCCAGGUCAGCGUCAUGUAAGGAAAUGGACGCUGGGAGAGAGAGGACCUCCGAGGAGUUCCUGCCAGCUCCAGGAAGCUGCUUCCCGGAGCUCCACUUUGCCUGGAGGACACACGGGACCCAGGCUGAACCCUUCUUUGCCGCUCUGUGCGGGGACGCCCAGGGUGUGUCUCUUAUGUGUCACACUGCUGUGUCCAUCUCGGAAGUGACGGUUAAAACCUCCACCAGCAACACCCUGGCGGGGGGUGGGGGUGGGGUCACCGUACCUCUCUUCCACAGAGAUCGUCCCUCGACCCCCUCUGCCAUGAGAUAUCACAGUUUAUUUUCCUCUCACUUUGAAAAUAUAGUAGCAGGACCAGCCAAUAGAAGCCUCUGCCCUGUGGCUCUUACGGAGAAUGGGAGAGACCAAGAAGUAGAUUCCUCUACACGGCAAGGGUGUAGCCCCGACUCAGCGAGCACGGCCCAGGGACUCCUACCUUAGGCUGCGUUAGCCGAGGCUUUGGAGGGAGGGGUGUGUGAGGUCUUAAGCUAGGGUGAGGAUAUGCAGACAGAAGAAAAGCUCCAUCCUCUGAGUUGCUGAAGCUGCAUCACAUGCAAAGGCCCUGGGCUGAGGGAGAAUUGGGCAUUUGGGGAGGAGGAGGAAAUCGGCGUGGCUCUGGGAUGGGCUCUUGAGGCUCAGAUCUUCCAAAUUCAUCCUCCUAACAAUUUGGAAGGGAUUGUCUGAUCCUUUCAGACAGAGCUUCGUGUGGCUCAGGCUUGUCCUUGAACUUGCUGAGAAGCCAAAGCUGGCCUCAAAUGCUUGAUCCUCCUGUUUCUACCUCUGGUAUGAGGGUCACAGGCAUGAGCUGCUGCACCUGGUUCAGGGUGGUGAUUUGAAACUGACCGUGGGAGUGUUUAUGCCACAGAAAUUUGGCCGAUGAGGUGCACUGUGGGAAUCUGUGCCAUUUGCCUUCACCCCACGGGGAGAGUGCUAGCCAGAGAGCAAGUAGCAAGUCAAGAGGCAGGGUGGUUGCAGUGAACAUCCAGACAGGAGGAGAGAAGAUGCUAUGACAUUGCUAACAACGAGCUAUGCCACCAGGAAAAAAACGGAAGUUCGGCCUGGUGGUGCAGGCCAGUCAUCCCAGCUGGCUGAGGAAGGAAGACCACAAGUUCAAGGCCACCCUGGAUAACACAGCAAGACGCUGUCUCGAAAACAGUGAAGAGGAAGCCAGUGAUAUAUGGCUUCGUGGCCGAGUGCUUGCCUGGCGCAAAGGACAAGGCGGUGUUCAAUGUCCAGGGCUAAGAAACAAAGGGGGUGGGGCGGGGGCAUUCCAGGAGGGUAGAUAUGCAGGUGACACAAAGACAGAGUGGAAAAGGUCGACACCGGCAUCACGGUGGCCUUGCCAAAAGUGAGGGCAGUCACCAGAUCCCGACCUCUCUGCAAGGAGCGAUGUGUGAAUAGACAGACAGACCCAGGUGAUGGACCUUGGGUUCGGCUCCUCAAAAACAGAGAGAAGGAGAAGAGGAAUGGGACCCCCAGCCUGUGGUAGGGAAGUCUGAAGCCAUGGAUUGAGGGAGAAAACAGUUGUCCAAGAACCCAGGCCUCUUCCGAGUGUAUUUCUGACAGGGAUCCCUCUGUGGUGGUUUGGAUGAAAACGGCCCCCAUAGGCUCAGAGGGAGUGGCACUAUUAGGACGUGUGGCCUUGUUGAAGGAAGUGUGUCACUGGGGUGGACGGGGGCGGGGGGUUCAAAAGCCCAGGCCAGGCCCAGUCUCCCUCUUCCUGGGGAUCAUGAUGUGGCUCUCAGCUACCUCUCCAGCACCACGCUCCCCACCAUGCUGAUAAUGGACGAAGCCUCUGAAACUGUAAACAAGCCCUCGGUUAAAUGCUUUCUAUUAUAGGAGCUGCCUUGAUCAUGGUGUCUCUCCACAGCCAUAGAACUGUGACUGAGACAGUGGAGCAGUUCUGAGAACAUGCUGUGGUUGAGUUUACAGAGCAGAACCCAAGGCCCAGAUGCCGGUGAUUUCCGCUCGAGCCAGAGCUCCGACGCGGACCUAGAUUCAAGGCCCGUGGGCACCCUUCCCUCAGAGCACACACCCUGUGUCCCACGGGGACAGCAUUUAUUCCAAUAGUAGAGCUCAGGACCGGACAACACAGUGGCCUCUCACCGCGGAGGGGAGAAGGCACCAGCUCCCAGGGCCUCAGGGGUCCCGACCCUCCACCAUCUCUCACCUUCUGCUCCAGCUCCGUUCGGGCCUUCAUCUCCGAGUCCAGUCUCUCCUCACACUGCUGAAGGCGCUUGCGCAGGAAGUCAUUCUCCAUCUGAGCACAGUCCAGGCGCAUCUGCCACUCAUCCGCUGCGUCACAGGGUCGAAGGCUGUACAGGAGAUAACUGCAUUAACAACAAGUCAUCUCUACUCAGCUUCAAGUAUAAUUCAAUGGGAGUGAGAAAAUGUUCAGAGAGAGCUACAAACUAGUUUUCUCCCGGGAAAACUUAUGAGAAUCCAGAAUCAUAUCCAUAAGGACUAUCCUAGGACAUACUAUGAUGUUGAGCACAUGACUGCACAUCCAGAGCUGAGCACCUGCUUCGUGUCGUGACUGAUGCGCCUGUGAGCUAAGUGUGUCUCCCACAUCACCAGCCCCCUGAUCACUACAGAAGAAACACACACCUGAGGAGCCUCAGCCAGACGCGUCUUGGAUGGAUGGAGCCUGUUCUGGGAUGCUUCUGGGGAGGCUGUGCUACCCUACACAGUUGGCUCUCUACCAACAGGUCCCUCACCCCCGUGAAGAGUCCCCGGGCAGUGGCACAAUCGGGCCACACCAGAAAGGUCUGGUGCCACCUGCCUCUCACUGUGUCGUGAAUCUGAGAGUCAGUCAACUUCCUCGUGUGUGAACUGUGCUGAUGUGAGAACAUGUAGGGAUGCUGUCCCGCAUGAUGAUAAGGUUGACCAGUUGGCUCUUCUGCUGUGCCUCCUCCAGCUGCUUCUGUACUUCCCCCAAUGCCUCCUGCACUUGCUGGUACUUAGCCUGGAAGAAAGGCUUGGUGAGGGCCAAGGUUUGGAAAUGAUAAGAGUUUAUACUCCCGACCCUAUGUCCAUGCAUUGGGAAACGAGUCCUCCGCAUGGCACCGUGAAAGGUCAGGCCUAAUGGAGGUCCUCACAUCACUGGGGCCCUGGAAGGAAUCACAGUGGUUCUUGUGAGACCCUCACAUUAGUUCUUACAGAGGACUAUUAUAAAGGGGGGGGGAGCCCGGAGCCUCCCUGUCUCUAGCUUUCUGUUCGGUUCAGUGAUCUUUUCCCUCCUGCCAUGACGCCAGCUGUCUUCAGCUUUUACCAAAGACCAAGCUAAUGGGCCUAGCCCAAGACCUUCAGCCUCCAGAACCACAAGCUAGUUUGCUUUAUAAAGAAACCCACUUAGAGAUAUUUUUGUUAUAGUAAUGAAAAUGGAGUCAACUGGCCAAGACCGACCAUUUCACGUGUGACCAUCCAAAGCCAGGGUUUGGUCACCUAUUACACAUUCACUCCUGAGAUGAGAAUGGGGUCCCCUGUGUUUUUCCCACCCAAGUGUCUUCCAAGGUCACAUGUAUGAUGCCUCAAUUGCUAAGGUCACUACCCACAGUAUCUCUCAGGCCUUGCCUUAGGAAGACCCAACUGUCCCUAGGAGCUAGGACACAGAGGUCAGUUAGCCUGUGUAUCUCAGACUAACUGGUCCUGGAGAAGUACUAGUAACCAGGAUGUCCUACUUCUGGCCACCCCACUAGAUCCGAAUGAGCUCUCACCUUGAG